rnacentral:sRNA from 1 species
AUAUAUAUAAACGAAAACACCUUUAUUUGCUUCCAAUUAAUGGCACUGCGAUUAUCUCUAUAUCAAACUAUGUUCUUGGGUUCUGCUUAAAACUUUUUGAUAUGGAGAUGUCAUAUGGGAAAAAUCUUUAUGUUCUAGGUUCUACUGAUAAAGACAUGUCUAUUUUGGCAUGGUCAACGAAUUUUUCAUGUCUUAAAUGGCAGUCAACGUUUAUUUCAUGUUUUAAAUGGCCACAUAUGAAGUUGAUGUUUAAAAUGACCACAAUUUAAAACUUGACUAAUAAAGUUAACGGAUGAUAACAGACGUUAGAAGUUCCGUUAAUGACUGAUAACAGAAUGUCUGUUUUGGCCUGGUCAACGAAUGAUCAUGUUUUAAAAAUUAGUCAACGUUUAUUUCAUGUUUUAAACGGCCGCAUAUAAAGUUGAUGUAUAAAAUGACCAUUUUUUUAAAGUUAGGGGAUUAAAUGACAUUUUUCCCGGGAGAAAUGGAGGUUGUGAAGAAAAAUCAAAGACGUAGUCUUCAGUUACUUAGAUAUGAGAAGUGUUGGUUAAACAGUGGUCUUGGGUGAAUCAGUUGGCAAGAUUUUUCCAACUGCUCGUGUUUUAAAAUCAGUGAGCUGUUAGGUAGCUUUUAUGUUUGCGACAAUGUUGGGAAAAAAGGCACAGAAUAUUAAAAGGGAAAAAUGUCAUAAAAAUCAUCGGUUUGCCAAAGUGGUGAAACAAACACCAGCUUUGAAUCUGGUGAAUUAAAUUCUCAACUAUA